GACGAACGCUGGCGGCGUGCCUAAUACAUGCAAGUAGAACGCACAGUUUAUACCGUAGCUUGCUACACCAUAGACUGUGAGUUGCGAACGGGUGAGUAACGCGUAGGUAACCUGCCUGGUAGCGGGGGAUAACUAUUGGAAACGAUAGCUAAUACCGCAUAAUAUUAAUUAUUGCAUGAUAAUUAAUUGAAAGGUGCAAUUGCACCACUACCAGAUGGACCUGCGUUGUAUUAGCUAGUAGGUGAGGUAACGGCUCACCUAGGCGACGAUACAUAGCCGACCUGAGAGGGGGAUCGGCCACACUGGGACUGAGACACGGCCCAGACUCCUACGGGAGGCAGCAGUAGGGAAUCUUCGGAAAUGGACGAAAGUCUGACCGAGCAACGCCGCGUGAGUGAAGAAGGUUUUCGGAUCGUAAAGCUCUGUUGUAAGAGAAGAACGGGUGUGAGAGUGGAAAGUUCACACUGUGACGGUAUCUUACCAGAAAGGGACGGCUAACUACGUG
rnacentral:rRNA from 1 species